UAAGGAAAACCGUGCGAUUAAGGUCGGUUUGAUCUGACGGCCCACGUUCAUUUGGAGGGGCUAUAUAAGUAGGCCCCCUGACCCCUGAAGGAGAGCAAUCCCAUUAUUCAUUAGCAUAUUUUCCAGAGAGGAUUCAGAGAGAGAGGUCCCUCUAGGGUUCCAACCUCAUAGGGCUUAGCAUCCAAUGUGAGAUUAGAAUUAGUUCUUCU
rnacentral:lncRNA from 1 species